rnacentral:misc_RNA from 1 species
AACUGAUACUACCUGCGGGAACCUGCGGAAGGAUCAUUACUGAGUUUCACAACUCUCUAACCCUGUGUGAACUGAAGUCUGGUUGCUCAGGCAGGCGGCCCCCGGGGGGAGCCGCAGCUUCUCUGAAGCGCCUGCCGGAGGAUACCUAAACUCGUUUUAACAUAUAAUCUUCUGAGUAAUAAAAAAAAUGAAUCAAAACUUUCAACAAUGGAUCUCU